UACAGAGGGUGCGAGCGUUGUUCGGAAUUAUUGGGCGUAAAGGGCGCGUAGGCGGUGCGGUAAGUCACCUGUGAAAUCUCCUGGCUCAACUGGGAGCUUGCAGGCGAAACUGCCGUGCUGGAGUGUGGGAGAGGUGCGUGGAAUUCCUGGUGUAGCGGUGAAAUGCGUAGAUAUCGAGAGGAACACCUGCGGCGAAGGCGGGUUGCUGGGCUGACACUGACGCUGAUGCGCGAAAGCCAGGGGAGCGAACGGG
rnacentral:rRNA from 1 species